rnacentral:lncRNA from 1 species
AAUCAUCGCCGAUGAUUUUGCAGCCUUUGUUGGACUUCCUGUAGAAGAGGCUGUGAAAGGCAUAUUAGAACAAGGAUGGCAAGCUGAUUCCACCACAAGAAUGGUUCUGCCCAGAAAGCCAGUUGCAGGGGCCCUGGAUGUUUCCUUUAACAAGUUUAUUCCCUUAUCAGAGCCUGCUCCAGUUCCCCCAAUACCCAAUGAACAGCAGUUAGCCAGACUGACGGAUUAUGUGGCUUUCCUUGAAAACUGAUUUAUCACUCUGAGUUCAAGAUUCAUCUUCAGAAUCCUGUAUACUGACAAACGUAGAAAUUUGAGGAAAUGGGAAUUCAAGAAGUCAGAGGAUCAGGAGAGUGAUCAAGAGAAUGACAGUGCCAGUUUUUUUAACUUCCAGGUAUUAAGUACAAAUUGUAUCCAUGGUUAUUUUUUAAAAGCAGAUUAGAGUCAAUCCAAAUAUUCAUUAAUAGGGGAUUGUUUGAAUAAACAGCAGUGUAGACUA